ACUCAAAUGAAUUGACGGGGGCCCGCACAAGCGGUGGAGCAUGUUGUUUAAUACGUCACUAACCGUAGAACCUUACCAGGGUUUGACAUGUGAGGCACCGGCAUGAAAGUGUCGUUCCCCGCAAGGGGACCUCAACACAGGUGUUGCAUGGCUGUCGUCAGCUCGUGUCGUGAGAUGUUGGGUUAAGUCCCGCAACGAGCGCAACCCUCAUCCCAUGUUGCCAGCGGGUAAUGCCGGGAACUCUUGGGAAACUGCCGGGGUAACUCGGAGGAAGGUGAGGAUGACGUCAAGUCAGCAUGGCCCUUACAUCCUGGGCUACAAACAUGCUACAAUGGACGGUAAACAGAGGGAUCCGAGACCGCGAGGUGGAGGCAAUCUCAGAAAUCCGUUCUCAGUUCGGAUUGCAGGCUGCAACUCGCCUGCAUGAAGCCGGAAUCGCUAGUAAACGCAGGUCAGCUAAACUGCGUUGAAUACGUUCCCGGGCCUUGUACACACCGCCCGU
rnacentral:rRNA from 1 species